rnacentral:rRNA from 1 species
UACGAAGGGUGCAAGCGUUAUUCGGAAUUACUGGGCGUAAAGCGCACGUAGGCGGCUUUGUAAGUUAGAGGUGAAAGCCUGGAGCUCAACUCCAGAACUGCCUUUAAGACUGCAUCGCUUGAAUCCAGGAGAGGUGAGUGGAAUUCCGAGUGUAGAGGUGAAAUUCGUAGAUAUUCGGAAGAACACCAGUGGCGAAGGCGGCUCACUGGACUGGUAUUGACGCUGAGGUGCGAAAGCGUGGGGAGCAAACAGG